rnacentral:ribozyme from 1 species
UUUUUUUUUUUUUUUUUUUUUUGGUCUUUUUCUUUUUUCCUAGGAGAAAAAUUU